rnacentral:rRNA from 1 species
CCCUUAGAUGUCCUGGGCCGCACGCGCGCUACACUGACAUGUUCAACAAGUUUCUCCUAGUUCGACAGGACUGGGAAAUCUUUGAACGCAUGUCGUGAUAGGGAUAGAUCAUUGCAAUUAUUGAUCUUGAACGAGGAAUUCCUAGUAAACGCGAGUCAUCAGCUCGCAUUGAUUACGUCCCUGCCCUUUGUACACACCGCCCGUCGCACCUACCGAUUGGAUGGUCCGGUGAAGCCUCGGGAUUGUGGUUCUUGCCGCUUUAUUGUGGCGUGACCGCGAGAACUUGUCUAAACCUUAUCAUCUAGAGGAAGGUGAAGUCGUAACA